GCCAAUGUAGCUCAGCUGGUAGAGCAGCUCAUUCGUAAUGAGCAGGUCGUCCGUUCGAAUCGGAUCAUUGGCUCCA
rnacentral:tRNA from 2 species